rnacentral:rRNA from 1 species
AUGACGUUCGGGCGAAGACAAGAUACAUGGACAUCAUGCAUCUUUCCACCUUGGCGGUGGUGUGGUGUACAUGUCGUUCACGCUGUCAAUUCAUUGCUACAGCUUCUUCAUCACCUCUCGUGGCUGCUCUUCUUCUCUGGCAGCAGUCGCAGCGGCGCUCUUGCCAUAUACGCCCUUGCCACCCUCUUCAACCGCCAGGGGAGGCAAGAUUGUAGCUCUGGGCAAGGCAAUAGCAUUCUGGAGGUGGUAUGGGCAUCGGUUCUCCUGAUCCACCUGGCCAGGCAGAACCCCAUAACUGCCCACGACAUUGAGGACAAUGAGCUAUGGACGCGACACAUCUUCAUCUCUGUAUGUCAGGUCACCAUAGCCAUCUACGUAUUCUGCAAAUCAUGGCCAGGUGGCGACGUGAGGUUGUUGCUGGCAUCAAUCUUUUUAUUCGUCGUGGCAAUACUCAAAAGCUUUGAGAAGCCCUGGGCCAUCAAGUGCGCUAGCAUUACCGGCCUAGUCAGGUCUUCUGGCCGCACUCGGAGGAGGAACGCAGGCAGAGAAGGCCGGAUCAAUUCGCUUGAAGACUACGUGAGAAACGCAAGGGCAUUUGUCCAGACCAACCCCCGUCGUCAAGCACAAGAAGAAGGUGAUGCAGUGGACGUUAAGCCUGACAACCAUCUUCCUCAAGCACAAGGAGAAGAAGAUUGCAUGGAUCUCGAGGCCGACUAUCAGCCUGGAGCACAUGGAGAAGCUGCCAUGGUGGAUCCUCAGCCUGACAACCAUCCUCUGACCUCAAGCACAUGGAUAAGCCGCCAAAUAAAGAAAACGAAGGAAACCGAUAGAAGGGACAUCAUCCGCCAACGCAAACUAACAAAAAGGCGAGUUGCUGAAUAUAAUAAGGCCCACGAGGUCUAUAAGCUAUUUCUGGACCUUGCAUCACCAUAUGAUGAUCGGAUCCGUACCCAAAUCCAUCUGGGUGCUUGA